AACAAACAGUAUCUGGAGUGUGUCUUUCUGUAUGCAAAAUAUUUCAGUAUUUUUAUUAUUUCAAGCUAUCAGAAUCAAACUUUUCAUUUGUCUUCUAUAACAUGAAGGCUUCGACUUCUGCCAUUAGACUUGCUAAAAUGCUCUGUUACCUUGUAUUUCAUUUUCUAGGGAGCAUGUUUAUUUUCUUACUCAAUGUCAUGGUAACAGAAACACUUCCUUUAUAUUGUAUCUAAGUUUGUGUUUUAAAUACAAGCAGGGCAGGUUGGAGAUUGCUGUAUAUCCCAUGUGGAAAUACAGCACUAGCUUUCUGGGUGCCAACACAUACUCCCAGCUGUUGCUCUAGGGUCACAGAUGCAUCUCACACUGAAUCAGUUAAAAAUGCAGUAGCUGUGUUUGGGGACAUAAGCUCAAAUUUUCAGGGCCUGAUUAUUCUGUUAGUUUCAUAUGUGCAAUUCCCACUGAAGUCAGCAGAAGUAGUGCAUGCAGACCUGACAGGCUAAUUUGGAGCCCAGAAAUGCAAAGGAUGUAAUCAUACAUUUGAUUUCUGUGAGUACUCAUGGUCUGAUUCUAACCCAUCUACGCAAUGUUAUGAUUUACCACAGCUUUUAAGGAUUUGGAUGGAUCGAAAAAUAUUAGGCUACUUGUGAUAUUUUAUUUUCAAUGAACAGGGGAAGAAAAAGAGAUGUGAAGUGUAUGAGCUCAUGCUGGACAAGGCCAGAAAGAAAAAUGCAUUCUACAGUGCUCUGAAACUGACUAAGACUAAUACAAUGUAUGGCAUACUAUGUAAGGAAAAGAAAUGUGAGACCCUGAGGAAUGAAGGCAAGCUAAUCAAAGGAAUAGCUAAUGGCCUAGAAGGAGGACAGGGAACAACCUGUUUCUUAUGUAGCCCACUCAGUUCUUAGUUCAGAGGGCCCGUGUACAGAGUGCUGGGACCUGAGCCCAAGAUCUUAAUGAUUUUGUCCAAAAGGGGUCAAAUUCAUGGCAAAUUCUUUAUGUCUAUAUAUUUUAUUCUUUGAUCAGAAAUGGACAAUUUCUUCCACACAGGGAACAGAGCCAAGUACUGGUGCUGGACCACACAGCACCAAGUACGUGUGAUGCUUUUGCACAUGCUUCUCCAAAAUGACUUACACCUGCAGUCCUACAACAUGCCAGAGUGAUACUGCUGGUCCAGUUGGCCUGCUGACUGAUCAGCACCUCAGGGCAAAUAAAAUUGUCAUGGAAAAUGGAUUUGGCACCUGAAUCAUCAAUAGAUUAACAGAACUGAGAAGCCCAAGAAAGACAGUGGAGGCUGGAGUGAUGCUGAUUACAUUGGAAUGUAUAGCAGUUAGUUGAACUAAUGGAGAACAGAAUUACAGAUGUCUGUAGGAAUUCAAGGAGACUUACAGUAAAGAGGGUGGGCCAGCAGUGCAGUCUGCAAAAUGGAGAACAUGAAGGUUUGCUGAGUCCUCUCUCCUGAAGCCUACAGCUUUGAGAAAUG